CAGCCCCCCAGCUUCCCCGCCUUCCCCUCUCUCCAGCCCCCCUGCUCUCUCUGCUUCCCCGCCCCCACACCCUCUUCUCCCCAGCCCCACUGCCCCUCCUGCAUCUCCAGUCAAAUCCACCAACCCUCAGUCAGGGACUAUUCAGCUCCUCUGCUGUUUCACAGACCUCCCUCAGCAUGAGAUUGAAGACAUCCUAAGGAAGAUGAAGCCCUCCAACUGUGACCUGGACCCAUUUCCCUCAACCCUGAUAAAAAGUCACUCCUCUGUAGGGCUGGGUAUCGAAUUUCGAUCCGGUUAUGGCACCGACCGAAAUGCUCCGAUCCUAUCGAAUAUCAAAACAUUAAUAGUUUUCCGGUGCCGUAUUUCGAUACUCAAUGAAAUUAAUCCCAGCCUGUCUGCCAAUAGUAAUAUCGUUUUCAACUGUUUCUGGGUAAAUGCUACGUCUGUGAGCCAAUAAUCAUGUGGUAUUAGUGGUUACGAAUCUUAAGUCGCUGGUGAUUGGCUGUCACAUUUUCGGAGCGCGAGACACGUUUGUCUACUUGACCGUCACUAUAUCAAACUUUGUCAGCUGUAACGUCACUCUUGACGUUGUCAUAAUGCCUAAAAGGUCCAAAGUGUGGCUCCACUUCGCUCAGGUGGACACCAAUAGAGCCAGAUGCUCUAUUUGCCAAAAAGUCGUGCUGGCGAAAGACGGCAACACAUCAAAUCUUGCGAAACAUUUAAUAAUGCACAAGAUUAACCUCCGGUCGGACAGCUGCUCCGUGUUUGACUGUAAAGCUAAGAAAGCUAAGAAGGACGACGGGACUUCAGUCACCAGACCGCCUCCUUCUUCCACAUCGAAUUCUCUAUCGGCUAGUGACCGGGAUUCAGCUGGGAGUUUGGCCAACAACAUUACAGCAGGUGGACGAUGGGGACAGCUCAUGCGAUGAAGCCAGUUCAGCUGCAACAGAGAAACUGACAAAGCUGUCUGCGCUGGAGGAGUUGUUCAUGGAUGAGGACAUAGAGGUGGGAGAGCGGAAUUACCCAAUUGCGAGCCAAAGGGAUAAGGUGAAAGAAGAAAUCCGCCACUACAGAGGUUUGCCAUCAACUUUGUCAACUGUUGAUCCAGUGACCUGGUGGUGGGACAUGAGGGGCACCCUACCAGCACUAUCAAGCUUGGCUGCAAGGUACCUCUGUGUUCAGGCGUCAGCGACACCAUCAGAGCGCACCUUUUCAACGGCUGGCGACACAAUCAGCCAGGAGCGGGCCUGUCUGUUGCCAGACAAGGCAGACAUGCUGAUCUUUCUAAAAAAAAACUGUUGAGUGACUGUUGUCAUGCAAUUUGGACUCUUUGGACAUUUGUUUGCAUCAGUUUUUCUCUUUGUUAUUAUUAUUGCAUUGUUAUUUAUUCAUUCCUUAUUAUAACUGAGUGCCCUCGACUAGGCCCCCAUGCCUAGAUCUCUGUGUAUUUAUGUAUGUGUGUAUUUAUGCAUGUGCUCUCUCUCUCUCUCUCUCUCGCUCUCUCGCUCUCUCUCAGUUCUGAAAAAUAAAUUCUAUAAUUCCUAAUUUGUUUUUGUUGUGGAAAUUGAUUUUUAAAACAUCAGGUAUCGAAAAAAGUAUCGUAUCGAACCGGUAUCGAAACCAAGGUAUCGAAAUUAGCACCGUAUCGAAAUAUUUUGAACGAUACCCACCCCUACUCCUCUGCAAUAAUUCCCAUGAUAACCAAAAUCAUCAAUCAGUCCCUCCAGUCCGGCCAUGUACCCACGUUUCUGAAAACUGCUGUCAUCAAGCCACUACUCAAAAAGCCCAGCCUUGAAGCACCUGCCAACUACUGCCCCAUGUCCAACCUCCCUUUCCUAUCAAAGGUGUUGGAAAAGGUCGUUUCUGCCCAUCUCCACAACCACCUCAUAACAAACAGUCUUUAUGAGAAGUUGCAGUCUGGUUCCCGCUCUGGCCACAGUACGGA
rnacentral:lncRNA from 1 species